UCUGGGCGUGGGCUCGUAGCACCCAUCAUGGGAACAGCUCUGGCCCAGCAAUAGCACAGGACCGUCCAGUAGGCAGGAACCUCUGAGGUGGACACCAAUGGCUAAGGCUCAGUGUUUGGCAAAGAAGCAGUGAGAAGGUGACAGAGUUGAUAUAAAGAGCAGAUAAGCAUGUACAACUUUGGCUCUUCCCAAUCCCAGGGUGGCAGCUGGAGGACUUAAGUCAAGGGGAAACAGCUUUCUGCCUCUAAGGAGUCACAUCCCAGUCAUCCCACCAACAUUCCUCAUUACUGCAUGUUGAGUCAUAUAAGCAUUUGAAGAGCAGGAGUACACCCCAAGUCACAAGAAUGCUUUCUGUUGCCAAGCUUUUCCCCUGCAGCACUUAUGUACAUGUAUGGAUCAGAGCAAAGUUAAGGCACACCAAGGAACAGAAGUCUGUCUGGUGGUUGUCUGGAUACAUGACUCAGAGGUUCAGAAAGGAUGGCCUUUGGGUUUGAAAGCCACUCUUGCGGUAAGAGAACAAUUGCAUGAACAGUGGGUAUGAUUCAUCUCUUUUUUUUUUUUUAAGGUGAACCUGUUUCAAGCUCUUCCCAGCUUUUUCUGUGCUUUUGCAUUGAAUCUGUAAUAUCUCUGUCCACUGAGAAGCACGGGGACUUUCUGUGUUGGAUCUACUAAUGUGAGCUUCUAAGAAGGAUCUAGGACACACGUGCCUUGUCUACCAGUAAAGCCCUGGAUUCCUGUAAGACAGGUGAGAGAAGAUUUCCUCUUUGUCAUCACUGCUGCAGUGCUUCUGUCGACAGAGUGGCCGCAUCCCUUGUCCCUCUUACAGCAGCAAGCAGCAC